rnacentral:rRNA from 1 species
AUUGAACGCUGGCGGCAGGCCUAACACAUGCAAGUCGAGCGGAUGAAGGGAGCUUGCUCCUGGAUUCAGCGGCGGACGGGUGAGUAAUGCCUAGGAAUCUGCCUGGUAUUGGGGGAUAACGUCCGGAAACGGGCGCUAAUACCGCAUACGUCCUGAGGGUGAAAGUGGGGGAUCUUCGGACCUCACGCUAUCAGAUGAGCCUAGGUCGGAUUAGCUAGUUGGUGGGGUAAAGGCCUACCAAGGCGACGAUCCGUAACUGGUCUGAGAGGAUGAUCAGUCACACUGGAACUGAGACACGGUCCAGACUCCUACGGGAGGCAGCAGUGGGGAAUAUUGGACAAUGGGCGAAAGCCUGAUCCAGCCAUGCCGCGUGUGUGAAGAAGGUCUUCGGAUUGUAAAGCACUUUAAGUUGGGAGGAAGGGCAGUAAGUUAAUACCUUGCUGUUUUGACGUUACCAACAGAAUAAGCACCGGCUAACUUCGUG